ensembl:lncRNA
GCGGUUGCCAUAGGGGGGCUGAGCCCGCCCUAAAUGAAAUUCUUUCACCUCUUGCGUCACCCGGACGUCUUCCGGGCCGCGGAGCCCAGGCCGCUUCGCCCUCGCCCUCGUGUGGACACAGGACUCGAAGGCCGCUUUCACAACCGGAGGAAGCUGGGAGGUGGCCAGGGCUGGGCUCAGGCCCUGUGUGGGAGGGAGAUGGGGUACAGGAAGGGAAGCGACCCGAGCACCCCUGCCCUCCCAGCUUCUCCUCUCCCUCUUCCUCCUCCUCCUCGUUUGAGCUGGUGGUUGAACCCAGGGCCUCACGGGCCAAACUGCCAGCCCCAGACCGCAAGGACAGGCGCGAGUUCCAAGUCGAUUCCCAGAGCUGGGAGUGUCAGCCCUCCGUAAAAAUGAAGUCAGAAAACUCGAGGCAGUUGAAAGGACUUCAUGCAUGAUAUGGAGUUCUCAAGGGAAGAAAUCAUGGCACACACCUGUAAUCCCAACGCUCAGGAGGCUGAGGCAGGAGCAUUGCCACAAGUUCGAGGCCAGCCUGGGCUACAUAGCAAGACCCUGUCUCAAAAAAGAGAAAAAGUCAAGAGAAGAAAUAAAAGGACCCCCCAUAACUAACUCAUCAUAUAAUGAAUCCCUUUGGCCAAUUCCGGCAGAACUGAUAUGGAUCUCCCUACAUAGUCCAGGCUGGCCUUGAACUCAUUAUGUAGCCCAGACAGUCCUCAAACUCAUGGUGAAUCCUCCUGCCUCAGCCUUCUGAUUGUGGGAUCACAGGUAUGCACCACCAUGCCUGGCUGAGAGUCAUUUUUUUCACAUUAGGGAUGGAACCCAGUGCACUUUACCCUGAGCUAUAUCUCUGGUCCCUUUUUAAAAUGUUGAUAUUGAGACAG